rnacentral:rRNA from 1 species
UACGUAGGGGGCAAGCGUUGUCCGGAUUUAUUGGGCGUAAAGAGCGUGUAGGCGGCUUUACAGGUCCGUUGUGAAAACUCGAGGCUCAACCUCGAGACGCCGGUGGAAACCGUAAAGCUAGAGUCCGGAAGAGGCGAGUGGAACUCCUGGUGUAGCGGUGGAAUGCGCAGAUAUCAGGAAGAACACCAACGGCGAAGGCAGCUCGCUGGGACGGUACUGACGCUGAGACGCGAAAGCGUGGGGAGCGAACAGG